rnacentral:rRNA from 1 species
UACGAAGGGGGCUAGCGUUGCUCGGAAUCACUGGGCGUAAAGGGUGCGUAGGCGGGUCUUUAAGUCAGGGGUGAAAUCCUGGAGCUCAACUCCAGAACUGCCUUUGAUACUGGAGAGCUUGAGUCCGGAAGAGGUGAGUGGAACUCCGAGUGUAGAGGUGAAAUUCGUAGAUAUGUGGAGGAAUACCGGUGGCGAAGGCGGCCUCCUGGUUCAAUACUGACGCUGAGGUGCGAAAGCGUGGGGAGCAAACAGG